rnacentral:lncRNA from 1 species
GUUUGUUUCAACAACAACAACAACAACAACAAAAAUACCAUAAUUUCUCUCUCCCCCCCUUUAGCAAACAUGCACCUGCUCUGCUUUCCCUCUUAAGGUGGGGGAUUCUUGUCAGUUCCUUUCCAUUCCCCAAAUGAGCUGUGAGAUCCACAUUCAAAUUUGCAGCUGACAGUUUAGGGUUAAGAUAUAAUUCCAGGUAACAGAAGCCAAUGAGAGUAUACCCCGUUGAUGUUUGUGACAUCAUCCUACAGUCGGAGUACACAGAACAGCUGAGGUAGCCUUCAGCCUCAGUACCAGUUGCCAUUAUGAUGGAUGUUUACAUCUCUUCAUUGAGAGCCAAUUAUUUUGCUUUUGUGUGAGGCCCAAGAAUCGCUCAUGCUGCCGGCAUUCACAGAGCCUGUUGGAUGUAGCUGAACGAAUUGUUUUCUCUCCUCCUGUGGAUUCUUCAAAGUCAUAACAGUUCAACCAAUGAUUAGCCUAUGUUUACUGCUCUGAAGUCAACUUAAAUGGAGCUUACUACUAGGAGAAGUCUGGCUCUGAGGAGAGAGAAGUUACACAGAAUGUAAGUGCUUUGUAUGAAAUUCUCCCAUUGUGUGAAACCUCAGUGAUACAUAUGAUGAACAUUUCUUGAUGUUUAUUGAUAUAGUGAAGAACUGGUUUCAUCGUGGAUUUAACAACUGUGGGUCAAUGGGAAACGCACAUGGAAGCAGUAGGAGCUGAGGAGCAGAAGGGG